rnacentral:rRNA from 1 species
UAAUACGUAGGGGGCAAGCGUUGUCCGGAUUUAUUGGGCGUAAAGGGUUCGCAGGCGGCCUUUUAAGUCAGAUGUGAAAGACUACAGCUCAACUGUGGUAAGCAUUUGAAACUGAAAGGCUUGAGUUAAGGAGAGGAAAGUGGAAUUCCUAGUGUAGCGGUGAAAUGCGUAGAUAUUAGGAGGAAUACCAGUGGCGAAGGCGACUUUCUGGACUUAUACUGACGCUGAGGAACGAAAGCGUGGGGAGCAAACAGGAUUAGAUACCCUGGUAGUCCACGCCGUAAACGAUGAGUGCUAGGUGUUGGGGGUCAAACCUCGGUGCCGCAGCUAACGCAUUAAGCACUCCGCCUGGGGAGUACGUACGCAAGUAUGAAACUUAAAUGAAUUGACGG